GUUUAUUGUAGUCUUCAUAGUCUGGGCUUCUUUGUACCUGUCCUUCUUGGGAAGGCUUUCCAAGUAUUUGAGGGGAAUUGGGUGUUGUGAUCUAAGUCUUUGGUCACUGCAGCUGUAUCUGCAUUAGGGGGCACCCUAAGCCCAGUAAUGUGGCUCCUGCAGACUUGUAGAGGUUACUGCCUUGGUGGUCUUGGGUCAGAUCUGGGAGAAUUCUCUGGAUUACUGGGGAGAGACUCUUGUUCUCUUCCCUGACUUUCUCCCAAACAAGUGGAGUCUCUUUCUCUCUGUGCUGAGCUGCUUGGAGCCAGGAGGAGUGACACAGCACCCCUGUGGCCAUUAAUACUGGGACUGGCCUGGGUCAGGCCUGAAGCCAGCACAGCACUGGGUCUUGCCCAAGGUCCACAUGGUGACCACUUGCCUGUCUACCACCUAUGUUUACUCAAAGCCCAAGGGCACUACAAUCAGCAGGUGGCAAAUCCAGCCAGGCUUAUGUCCUUCCUUUUAGGGCAGCAAGUUACCCCUGGCUCUGGGCAGAUCCGGAGAUGCUGUCAGGGCCUGGCGUUGAGAACCUUAGGAAUCUUCCUGUCAUUCUGUUCUACAGCAGCUGAGCUCACACCCAAACCACAAGACAAACUCCUUCUCAUUCUUCUCUCCCGUUUCCUCAAGCAGAGGAAUCUCUCCCCAUGGCCACCGCUGCCCCAGGCCUGCAGCAAGUACUGCAAGGCUGUCGCCGAUAUUCACUCAAGGUCCAAGGGCUCUUUGGUCAGCUUGUGGUCAAUGCUGAUAGGCCUGGGUAUCUCCCUUCAGGGCAAUGGGCUCCCCUCUGGCCCAGAGUGGGUCCAGAAAUACCAUCCAGGAGCCAAGGCCUAGAAUCAGGGACCUCAAGAGCACACUUGGUGUUCUACCCCACUGUGGUUGAGCUUGUACCCUUCCUGUAAGACAGAGUCCCCUUUACUCCCGAGAUCAGACGAGAUUGGGCGCGUUCAGGGUGGUAUGGCCGUAGACCCCUUUACUCUUCCCUCUCUUUUCCUCAAGCAGAAAGAGUCUCUCCCUGUAGCCACCGCAGCUGGGAAUAUACUGGGUCACUCCUGAGGCCAGCAUGGCUCUGAGUCUCACCCAAUGCCCACAGUGAGUACUGCCUGGCUACCACUGUUGAUUAUACAGAGCCCAAGGGCUCUUUGGUCAGCAGGUGAUGACUCCUGCAGGGACUGGAUCCUUCCCUUCAAAUGUGCUGGUUGCAUUUUGGUCCAAGGUGUGUCUAGAAAUGUCAUCCAUAAGCUAGGUCCUGGAAUGGGGGCCUCAGGACUCUGGUCCCUUGUUCUACUCUGGCUGAGCUGGGAUCCAAGUUGCAAGACAAGGUCCUUGUUAUUCUUCUCUCUCUUCCUGGGCUGUGAACAACACUGCCUGGCUUUGCAGUAAGGGUGUCAAAAACGCACUCCCUGGCCACCCAGCUGGUGUCUCAGUAGGUCAUGUGCACCCUAAGUCUACUGGGCUAGUGGAGUGGCAGUAACAGACGAUAUAAGGUAGGAGUUGCAUUGUGUCUGAGAAGAUGUGGAGAGGACUGUGAACCUACUUUUGUGCAACACUGAAAAGUAUAUGCUUCCUUUCAGUUAAUUGACAUGAGUCUUUGAAGAAUAGACUCACAUUCUGAGUCUGUGAGUGAAUAUUUUGUCAUUCUACACCCUUACUUAGCAAGCUAAAGUCCUGAAAAAUAUGAUUCCUGAAUUUUCUUGAUUUCCAGAAUAAUAUAGCAUAUUCCUUAAAAGAAAGUGGUUUCAUGAAAGGUGUUACUUUCAAAAAACUAAUCAUCUUUUCCUUUUUUAAAAAAUAGGAUUAAAAGAGUAAAAUUAAUAUCUAACAAAGGGACUGAAACUGACAAUGACCCAAGUUGUGUCCAUCCUAUCAUUAAGAAGAGACAAUGUCGACCAGAGAUUAGAAUGUGGCAAACAAGAGAGAAAGCAAAAUCUUCAGAUGGAGAAAAGUGUCGUAGGGAGGCUUUUAGGCGUUUGGGUAAUGGGGUGUCUGAUGACCUGUCAAGUGAAGAAGAUGGUGAAGCACGGACACAGAUGAUAUUAUUGCGUAGGAGUGUGGAAGGGGCCUCAAGUGACAAUGGUUGUGAAGUUAAGAAUAGAAAAUCAAUACUUUCAAGGCACCUAAACUCUCAGGUAAAGAAGACCACUACAAGGUGGUGUCAUAUUGUGCGGGAUUCAGAUAGUCUGGCUGAAUCAGAAUUUGAAUCAGCAGGCUUCAGCCAGGGCUCUAGAUUGGGUGUGAGUGGUGGCUCUCGAAGCCUCAACAUGUCAAGAAGAGACUCAGAAAGCACCCGCCAUGACUCGGAGACGGAGGAUAUGUUAUGGGACGACCUGCUACAUGGCCCAGAGUGCCGGUCAUCUGUCACCAGUGACAGUGAGGGGGCCCAUGUGAAUACCCUUCACUCAGGGACCAAACGUGACCCCAAAGAGGAUGUUUUUCAGCAGAAUCAUUUAUUCUGGCUUCAGAAUUCAAGUCCUUCCUCUGAUCGAGUUAGUGCAAUAAUCUGGGAGGGGAAUGAGUGCAAAAAGAUGGAUAUGUCUGUGUUGGAAAUAAGUGGCAUCAUCAUGAGUAGGGUCAAUGCCUAUCAGCAAGGAGUAGGUUAUCAGAUGCUGGGAAAUGUUGUCACUGUUGGAUUAGCAUUUUUUCCAUUCUUACAUCGACUUUUCCGUGAGAAGAGCCUUGACCAACUAAAGUCCAUUUCAGCUGAGGAGAUCUUGACUCUCUUUUGUGGGGCACCACCUGUUACACCUAUUAUUGUUUUGUCCAUAAUUAAUUUUUUUGAAAGAUUGUGUCUUACUUGGAUGUUUUUUUUCAUGAUGUGUGUGGCAGAGAGAACAUAUAAACAGAGAUUUUUAUUUGCAAAGCUCUUCAGCCAUAUUACUUCUGCCAGGAAAGCUAGGAAAUAUGAAAUACCUCAUUUCAGACUUAAGAAGGUGGAGAAUAUUAAAAUAUGGUUAUCACUGCGUUCCUAUCUAAAGAGACGGGGGCCACAGCGUUCAGUUGAUGUGGUUGUAUCCUCGGUCUUCCUACUGACACUUUCGAUUGCUUUCAUUUGUUGUGCUCAGGUUCUCCAAGGACAUAAAACUUUCCUGAAUGAUGCUUAUAACUGGGAGUUUUUGAUCUGGGAAACAGCUUUACUACUUUUCUUAUUGCGUCUGGCCUCAUUGGGGUCUGAAACCAAUAAGAAAUACAGCAAUGUUUCGAUAUUACUUACAGAACAGAUUAAUUUAUAUCUUAAGAUGGAAAAAAAGCCAAAUAAGAAAGAACAGCUUACUCUAGUAAACAAUGUAUUAAAGCUGUCCACCAAGUUGUUGAAAGAGCUGGACACACCAUUUAGACUCUAUGGACUGACAAUGAAUCCCUUAAUCUACAAUAUCACAAGAGUAGUUAUCCUUUCUGCUGUCUCAGGUGUUAUAAGUGAUCUUCUAGGAUUUAAUAUAAGACUGUGGAAAAUUAAAUCAUAAGCUGAGUUAAAUGCCUGGACUCUCCCCUGGCUGGUAUCAAAAGUUACCUAUCAAGGAAAGAGAUGACUGCAGAAACCAGUGAGAUACCCAUCUGCUUGUUCACAUGCACAGGUGCUCUCAGCUCUGCCAAAGCGAAUUAAUGGUGUUUCCGGAGGAACAAGUCCUUUUCCAACUGGGUGUGCAUGCUAAAAACCUGUAUUUUCAUGCUUUUCAAACAACAUGGAUAGUCAGCCAACUAAAGACUGUGUGUGUUGUGGUAACACAAGGACAAUUUUGUAAGUUUGCGCUUCAGUACUGUGACAGUUAUGUUUACUGGACAUAGUCUUUUGGGAAACUAUGGUAGAUGCCCAAAGCAUGAAGCAAAUAUCUUUUAUUGGAAAUAUGCAAAUUCAAUACUUUUCCAUUAUAGUCUAUAGAACUGGAGAUUUCAUUUCUCUAUCAAAGAGAGAUCUAGCAAACUAUUUUAGGUUAAAUCCGAAUAAAAGAACUUUACUGGAGACUUUCAGUUUCUAGGUUUUCUUUGUUGUUGAAGGAAGAAAAUUAACUUUUAAACUGUGAGUUUCUGUUAAACUGUGGAGAAAUGUUUUGUUCGUUUACAAUUUUGAGUUAAUAACUGUAUAGUUGUUGGCGAACAAUGCAUGCGUACAAUAUGCCAUGUAAUUCAGCAUGAAAAAUUUAAGUAUAUGCCUACUCAUCCAUUUCCAUCAUACAACAUGGUUUCCAGAUAGAUCAUCUGAGUUGUGGUUCCUAACACAGUGCUGUGUGUCCUAUCACAAGCAUCAUUGAUAGUUUAUCUGUUGUGCAACUUAAUGUAUUAAACCCUCCGUACAUUUUCAGGUC
rnacentral:sRNA from 1 species